AGCACCAUACUUCUCUCAUCUGCUUUAGUGUAAAGUCAGCUGAGGUUGCUGUUGGCUUUUUGCCUUAGAUGGAGCAAGAGGUGCUGACAUGGUCAGUGGCAGCAAUAAUCUCUAACCAAGAGGUAAGAGUAAGCGUGGGGAAGGGAUGAUAUCUUCAGAUGUCAGGCGUGGAGUGAGCACCAGAGCCUCCUAAUGUUACUCAGACUAUUACUAUACAGGCACUCAAAUUAGUUGUAGACUAGGCCUAAUACCCCUAAUAGAAUCAUUUCAGUGCAAGUUAAAUUAUAUAAAUAGUGCAGAAAUCAAUGACUAUUUCUAUCCAAUCUGACACUAGCAUAAGCUGUUUGUUAUUGCAUAUUUGAAAGGGUAUUAUUACACAUCCUAAACAGAAAGCUAUGCACACUGAAUGGCCUGUGCACAAAUGGGCACUGAACUGCGAUCAAAACAGACUGUUGUGUGUAAAUGAAUGUGUGAGCAUGGAGAUAUUCUCCUGACAGGCAUCCACAUACAUGCCAAGUGAAAUGCACCAGUGAGGCAUUGUUGGUAGUAGCAGUGGUUUAAUCAUUUUCAUGCCUACAGGACCUUAAAGAUCCCAUAGACAGUGAAAGGUGCUUCAGGGAGAGGGGAAAGCUGUUAUAUUUAUUUUUACCUUGUGGACUUUGGCAGUGGUGAAAUUGCUUUUUAACCAUUUCUUCUUACUCAUCUGAUGCAUUUUGGGCAAACAGUAAGGCGAAGUUGUAACCAGGGAUGAGAGGAAAUGUGUUUUGUAGAACGUACCAUUUACAAACAAACAUGUUUGCACUUGUGCACUGGGGUCUCCCUGCAAAUUGUUCCUGCUUUAAUUUUUUUUGUUUUCUUUCAGUCUGUCACCUGUAGGGAUACAGUGGGAGCAGGGCAAGCACAGCAGUGUGACCACGGGAGGGCAGAGCUAAACUGUAUUCCUCCCCCACCUGAAGAAGAUGUGAGAUCCACAAGAGCAGACUAACUUGUCAGCACCUGGAGCUGAAGGCCUCGGAUUUCAUCAGCUACCAACCUGCACCUUUAUUAAAUAUCAUCCUACUGGCACUGUGACCUUCCAGAGUGAGUGCCUAAAGGAAGGUGAGCGAAUACAGCAGUGCUCUACCCUCCUCCAUAGUCUGUACCCCUGCGUGAUCAGCCUUGGGACACUGCCAUGGCCAAGAUGUGAUCUCAAUGGGUGACAUGUUUCUAGGCAUGGACAAAGGCCAAGGCUCCAUGCUGGAGUUCCUUGAUAUGUUGGUAUUCUUGAUUGCAUUGAUCAAAGAAUUCUUUGAGCAGCAUCAAGGACCCAGCAAGAGGUCGUGUUUGUUGGACAGAUAGAAGAGUCAAUAUUGUUCCCUCCCUUUUGCUCUAUUCUGUGCACACACAAUCCCAGAGAUGUGAGGCACAAUCUGCUGCUUUGCCAAUAACACAUUGAUGUGGUUCAGUUCUGCACAGCCUUCCCUACUGAGGCAGUGUCUGACAGCCUCACCAAGAUGUUUCCUUGCCUGGAGGAAAGAAGCAGAUUGACAAAGGGUGGCUACUUCCAACCAAGCACAGAGAUCAUGGAAGUGUUUGUGACAGGAGGGACAUACUCACAACAUAUCAUCAAUUUGAGGCAUCUGACUACCAGCCACCACACACUCUCCUGCUGGUCAUCCUGAAUUGCUAACUACUCUUGAGCACUCAGAUCAAAAAAACGUCAAGGAAAAUAUGCUGCUAUGCUUGUGGAGGUGGCCAUACUCAGAUUCUUGCCUUGAACAAUUUAUCCUGAAGGUGAAAACCUCACAAUCCAAGCAAUAAAGAUAUACUGCAUGAAA